rnacentral:rRNA from 1 species
UACAGAGGGUGCGAGCGUUGUCCGGAAUCACUGGGCGUAAAGGGCGCGUAGGUGGCGUCGCAAGUUGAUGGUGAAAGCUCGGCGCUCAACGCCGAGUCGGCCGUCAAGACUGCGAGGCUCGAGCACUGUAGAGGCUAAUGGAAUUCCGGGUGUAGCGGUGGAAUGCGUAGAGAUCCGGAAGAACACCGGUGGCGAAGGCG